UAUAUAUGAAUAUGUGGUUCCCAGUUGGA
rnacentral:piRNA from 1 species